UAGCUAUUCCAGUUGACGCCAUUUUACACUAAGGACGACAACUCCCGCUGACUACCUGACAGCCAUAUUGGAUGAGAUUGUGGGUCAGUGCAGACGGGUUCACAUAUCAUCUGUGAAAGUGGCAGUUACUCUGAAAGAAUUUUCCAUACAAGGUUCUGUACUGGAAUGAUAGCGAGAAGACGAACAGCAGCAUAUUUGAGCUAACAGAAAGAGAAAUCAAUACAGACAUCAAAGAAGGGAAUUUAUUUUUCAAAGACACAGGAGCAAAAUUGGAUCACAGUUAUAGCACAUUUUGAAGCAGACUAUAAGCUGAAGACUUCCUGCUUGGCCUGUGUCCACAACAUCCCAUGUCGCAGUGAUAAUCGUGUGCUCCAAUAUUCCUCAAUUGUGCCCUGUUUGGUCCAGUGUCUUUAUCAACUUGUGUUGCAUUAGUGAAUUCUGUAUGAUUGCAUAUUCUUGAAAGACUGCCUGUUGGGAACAGCUUUCGCAUCAACCAAUGUCGCGGUGAUGAGGUCUCUAUUCUGCCUAUACCGUGAUGACUACCUGUUUGGGAUUCCGCAUCAACCAAUGUCACGGUGAUGAAGUCUCUGUUUUACCUAUACCGUAAUGACUGGCUGUUUGGGAUACCGUCCACUUCAGCCUUGUCGUGGUUGGAAUUCCUAGUGUUUGCGUAUUCCGUCGCACCUCAACGCAAUUGGACGAGUGCAACACAUAUUCUUACGCUCAUUCCAUUGUUUAUUGACUUGAUUGAUAUUUGAAUUGAUUGAUUGAUUAAUAAUUGAUUGAUUGACAAGUAAUUGACUUGAUUGAUAUUUGAAUUGAUUGAUUGACUGAUUGAUUAAUAAUUGAUUGAUUGAAUUUGAUUGAUUAUUGCAUUGGUGACGUUCUUGCACUUGUGACCUACCCAGUGCAUGAUCCGCCCGAUUUGGGUCGUCACAUUUGUUGUAUUGAUUGUUGAUUGUGGGGCAGCCCUGUGGUAGCCCCAGCAAAUUGAUCACCGCAGCCAGAAGCGCCAUAUUAAACAAGCAAAAUAACAU